rnacentral:rRNA from 1 species
AUGGUGGAAGGCUCGGAGAGUGAUAUCUCAAACCUCAAGUUCCUUCUGCUGUGCUUCCAACAGAUGUUCGGCCUCAAGAUCAACUUCGACAAGAGCGAGGUGAUGGUCUUAGGAUACUCCCAAGAUGAACGCCAAAGUAUAGCGGAUCGGCUUAACUGCCAGCUUGGGAGCUUUCCCACGACAUAUCUGGGGAUACCCAUUAGUGAUUCUAGGCUCACGGUGGCUGACCUGCGCCCCACGGUGGGGAAGUUUCAGCACCGGAUCGAGCCUUGGCAAGGCCGGUGGCUAUCCAAAGCUGCCCGUACGGUGCUGAUCAACUCAUCCCUCGCUAGCCUGCUCUUGUUCAUCAUGAGAUUCUAUAGCCUUCCGGAGACGCUUCAUCACGAGAUCGCCAUGGUUCAGGGCCGUUUCUUUUGGGCCGGUGAGGAAGACAAGAAGAAGUACCACAUGGUUAGGUGGUCUGAAAUCUGCAAGCCUCGCGACCAGGGCGGCCUCGGGAUCAUGUCUUCCAAGCACAUGAACAUCGCCCUCCUGACUCGGUGGCUUUGGCGGAUUGCCAACGGUGAUGGUGGCCUAUGGCUUCGCAUCAUUCAGCAGAAAUACCUUCGAGGCCAGCCUCUCGCAUUCUGCUAG